rnacentral:rRNA from 1 species
CCUACGGGUGGCAGCAGUGGGGAAUAUUGGGCAAUGGGCGCAAGCCUGACCCAGCAACGCCGCGUGAAGGAUGAAGGUCUUCGGGUUGUAAACUUCUUUUAUCAGGGACGAAGCAAGUGACGGUACCUGAUGAAUAAGCCACGGCUAACUACGUGCCAGCAGCCGCGGUAAUACGUAGGAGGCGAGCGUUAUCCGGAUUGACUGGGUGUAAAGGGCGCGUAGGCGGGAAGGCAAGUCAGAUGUGAAACCCCAGGGCUCAACCUGGGAACUGCUUUUGAAACUGUUGUACUUGAGUUCUGGAGAGGCAAACGGAAUUCCUAGUGUAGCGGUGAAAUGCGUAGAUAUUAGGAGGAACACCAGUGGCGAAGGCGGUUUGCUGGACAGUAACUGACGCUGAGGCGCGAAAGCGUGGGGAGCAAACAGGAUUAGAUACCCGUGUAGUC